rnacentral:rRNA from 1 species
UACGUAGGGUGCGAGCGUUGUCCGGAAUUAUUGGGCGUAAAGGGCUCGUAGGCGGUUUGUCGCGUCAGGAGUGAAAACUCGGGGCUUAACUCGGAACGGUCAGCUGAUACUGCUUUGCUAGAGUGCAGAAGGGGCAAUCGGAAUUCUUGGUGUAGCGGUGAAAUGCGUAGAUAUCGGGGAGGAACACCAGUGGCGAAGGCGACUACCUGGCCCAUUCUUGACGCUGAGGCGCGAAAGCUAGGGGAGCGAACGGG